AGAGUAUAAAGGCAAAAGCGCGCUUGACUGCGAGACAAACACGUCGAGCAGGUACGAAAGUAGGUCUUAGUGAUCCGGUGGUUCUGUAUGGAAGGGCCAUCGCUCAACGGAUAAAAGGUACUCCGGGGAUAACAGGCUGAUACCGCCCAAGAGUUCAUAUCGACGGCGGUGUUUGGCACCUCGAUGUCGGCUCAUCACAUCCUGGGGCUGAAGCCGGUCCCAAGGGUAUGGCUGUUCGCCAUUUAAAGUGGUACGCGAGCUGGGUUUAGAACGUCGUGAGACAGUUCGGUCCCUAUCUGCCGUGGACGUUUGAGAUUUGAGAGGGGCUGCUCCUAGUACGAGAGGACCGGAGUGGACGAACCUCUGGUGUUCCGGUUGUCACGCCAGUGGCAUUGCCGGGUAGCUAUGUUCGGAAGAGAUAACCGCUGAAAGCAUCUAAGCGGGAAACUUGCCUCAAGAUGAGAUCUCACUGGGAUCUUGAAUCCCCUAAAGGGCCGUCGAAGACUACGACGUUGAUAGGUUGGGUGUGUAAGCGCUGUGAGGCGUUGAGCUAACCAAUACUAAUUGCCCGUGAGGCUUGACCAU
rnacentral:rRNA from 1 species